GACGAACGCUGGCGGCGUGCUUAACACAUGCAAGUCGAACGGAAAGGCCCUGCUUUUGUGGGGUGCUCGAGUGGCGAACGGGUGAGUAACACGUGAGUAACCUGCCCUUGACUUUGGGAUAACUUCAGGAAACUGGGGCUAAUACCGGAUAGGAGCUCCUGCUGCAUGGUGGGGGUUGGAAAGUUUCGGCGGUUGGGGAUGGACUGGCGGCUUAUCAGCUUGUUGGUGGGGUAGUGGCUUACCAAGGCUUUGACGGGUAGCCGGCCUGAGAGGGUGACCGGCCACAUUGCGACUGAGAUACGGCCCAGACUCCUACGGGAGGCAACAGUGGAGAAUAUUGCACAAUGGGCGGAAGCCUGAUGCAGCAACGCCGCGUGCGGGAUGACGGCCUUCGGGUUGUAAACCGCUGUCGCCUGUGACGAAGCGUGAGUGACGGUAAUGGGUAAAGAAGCACCGGCUAACUACGUG
rnacentral:rRNA from 1 species